rnacentral:rRNA from 1 species
GAUGAACGCUGGCGGCGUGCCUAAUACAUGCAAGUCGAGCGAACGGACGAGAAGCUUGCUUCUCUGAUGUUAGCGGCGGACGGGUGAGUAACACGUGGAUAACCUACCUAUAAGACUGGGAUAACUUCGGGAAACCGGAGCUAAUACCGGAUCAUAUUUUGAACCGCAUGGUUCAAAAGUGAAAGACGGUCUUGCUGUCACUUUUAGAUGGAUCCGCGCUGCAUUAGCUAGUUGGUAAGGUAACGGCUUACCAAGGCAACGAUGCAUAGCCGACCUGAGAGGGUGAUCGGCCACACUGGAACUGAGACACGGUCCAGACUCCUACGGGAGGCAGCAGUAGGGAAUCUUCCGCAAUGGGCGAAAGCCUGACGGAGCAACGCCGCGUGAGUGAUGAAGGUCUUCGGAUCGUAAAACUCUGUUAUUAGGGAAGAACAUAUGUGUAAGUAACUGUGCACAUCUUGACGGUACCUAAUCAGAAAGCCACGGCUAACUACGUG